UGCAGUCGAGCGGAACGAGUUAUCUGAACCUUCGGGGGACGAUAACGGCGUCGAGCGGCGGACGGGUGAGUAAUGCCUAGGAAAUUGCCCUGAUGUGGGGGAUAACCAUUGGAAACGAUGGCUAAUACCGCAUAAUGCCUACGGGCCAAAGAGGGGGACCUUCGGGCCUCUCGCGUCAGGAUAUGCCUAGGUGGGAUUAGCUAGUUGGUGAGGUAAUGGCUCACCAAGGCGACGAUCCCUAGCUGGUCUGAGAGGAUGAUCAGCCACACUGGAACUGAGACACGGUCCAGACUCCUACGGGAGGCAGCAGUGGGGAAUAUUGCACAAUGGGCGCAAGCCUGAUGCAGCCAUGCCGCGUGUGUGAAGAAGGCCUUCGGGUUGUAAAGCACUUUCAGUCGUGAGGAAGGUAGUGUAGUUAAUAGCUGCAUUAUUUGACGUUAGCGACAGAAGAAGCACCGGCUAACUCCGUGCCAGCAGCCGCGGUAAUACGGAGGGUGCGAGCGUUAAUCGGAAUUACUGGGCGUAAAGCGCAUGCAGGUGGUUUGUUAAGUCAGAUGUGAAAGCCCGGGGCUCAACCUCGGAAUUGCAUUUGAAACUGGCAGACUAGAGUACUGUAGAGGGGGGUAGAAUUUCAGGUGUAGCGGUGAAAUGCGUAGAGAUCUGAAGGAAUACCGGUGGCGAAGGCGGCCCCCUGGACAGAUACUGACACUCAGAUGCGAAAGCGUGGGGAGCAAACAGGAUUAGAUACCCUGGUAGUCCACGCCGUAAACGAUGUCUACUUGGAGGUUGUGGCCUUGAGCCGUGGCUUUCGGAGCUAACGCGUUAAGUAGACCGCCUGGGGAGUACGGUCGCAAGA
rnacentral:rRNA from 1 species